CAAACAAAGAGGCGUUAGGCUGAGACGCUGAAAGUCCGGAUUUAAAGUGCAGAAAAUUAAGCCAUUGAAUCUGCCUGUCCAUGACGUACAAAGACACACUAUGAGCCAGUAUGAUCCGACCAGACCUUACAUCAGCAUUGAGGAGUUGGCGGAGAAGAAAGAGGCUGAUUGAAGCGGGACAGAUGACAUGGAUCCAUCCUUCCACAGCCAGGAGCGCACCGACCUGUGUGAAACACUUCAUAUAAGAC